GAAUGUGGGGGCGGCUCCCAACAAAGUAAGGCGCUUCCUACACCCAUUUCCAGCUGGCCAAGUAGGACCAAGAUAAUCAUCACGGAGGAAGAGGAGAGGUGGGGAUGCCUCUCAGAUCAAAGUCUUCAAAGGCAAACCAGCUGCAUGUUUGUGAAGAUCGUGUUUGGCUCCGGCUCAAGCAGACAGCCCUGAAUGAGAUUCUUGGGGUAGCUACUGAAAACUGGCAGCAGCAGAAGCAGAGCCGGGUUUAUUUCAGAGGGCGUGUUAAGAAGCUGGACCCUUUCCUGGAAAAUCAGCUCCAGUGGAUUAAGAGCUCAUUUAUGAAAAUGAAACCACCACAGAGGCAGUGGCCAAGAGGGGAGAUGACAUCAAGGUUCCUAAAUAAGACACCAGACAUACUAGGAUUGAUGCUGACGCUUCAUAGGCUGUGGUAACCACGUGACUCACCGCCACGUGUCCACGCAGAAAAGUUACCCCUUGUUCAGCGCAUCCUCAGUGCAGCCCCAAGGCUGAAGUCGCCAGUACCCACCUCUCUGGGCAGCCCAGUGAUGUCCCUCAGCGAUGAGACUUCAGCAAAGGUCCCCCAAGAGUGGGCUGCACUGUUGGCAAACCUCCUCAGGAACGGCUCCUCGGUGGUGGUCCCUCAGCAGCAACAACCUCUCAAGAAUGGUCCCUGGCGACUGCCCCUUAGCAACAGCUCCUCACAAAUGACCCCUAGAAAGUGGUCCAGUAACUAGGUCGCCUCCCAGAAACAGAUCCUCGGCGACGGUUCCUCAGCACUGGCCCCCGCAGAAUCAGUUCCUUAAGCCGCUAGACCAUGGCCUCUUAACGGCCCGACUGCCCCCAGCCACCGUGGGUCUGAGGCUGCGUAGUUUGGGCGCGCAGCUCCAUGGCAACGGAAGGCUGCUUUGGGGUAGCGGGCGGGGCUGAGGCUGCGGAGGGAGAGCUUGUGCGCAGGCGUAGUGCAACAGCGGGGGUAAAGUGGGACGAGCAUCGCGGAGGGCAGAGUCAAAGCUGACUGUUGCCCAGACGAUUCUCCUGGAGACUGGGGCAGGUGCUCGAGAACUUGUCUAAAGCCAGUUGAAACUUGGGUCAACUGCUUACUUAAAAGACCAUUUACGCAGAAGUUAGGAUCUCCUGCGUCUCUUGGAUCUGAAUUCUGGCUCUCCCAGGGCUUUGCAGCCUGUGUUGUGCCCUCUAGGUGGUGACAUCUGACUCCUCUGGAUAACUCACAGGACUCUUUGGAUUGUUUUUGGUCGUUUAAGUUGGCGUGGUCACUAGUCCGGGCAGGAGGUGGGCUCAACAGUGGACAGGACAUGUUCCCUUUCCUCAGAGUCGCAGGGAUGACUGGCAACUCCUGUAGUUUUGUCUUGGAGAUGGAGAACCUUCAGCGUUAAGAAGUCCUCAAAAUAAUACAGAGCCUGUGGAAAUGUCAGUGGAGAUUGGUGGGGGGUACCUCUGCACUCCCUUCAGAUACUUUGCCUGUGAAAUACCACUGCAAUACUGUAUAGGUGUGUGUGUGGCUGGGGAUCGAACCCAGGUGUUCUAUAAGUUUAGAGCUUUGUGUAUGGAAGCCGGAUGUCCUAGUAAAGCAAUUUGGGAAAGAUAGCCAGUUGGUUUGUAACCUUUAGCUGAGGGAGAAUGUGAACUGGGCCUCCUACUCUGGGUUGACCCUGGUAUAUGGCUGAGCAGAGAGGGUUGUGAAGUAACCAUAUCCAAUACUAAUAUUUGUGGUAUGAAGUAUAAUCCCCACUAUAGUAAAAUAAGUGAAUAAAUUGGUCUUCUCUUUCA
rnacentral:lncRNA from 1 species